CGGCUUGUUCCGGGGUGAGGGGCGGCCGCCGGUCAGGGCGGCGGUGUCAGCAGCGUGGCCGCGGGGCUCCGUGUCCCGAAGGCGGCCCGCCCAGGUCCCCAGGGGCUGACCCCCGAGCUGACCUCGCGGAGAACAGUUUGAGCGCAGUGUAGGCAACUAUCUCAAUGAUCCACCUGCCCCAUCAGGAAGGAAGGAGCUGAGUGGCAGCCUCACCACUGUGAGUGAAGUUUCAAAGCAAAGAGCCACAUUUCUAUAGAUGCAAGUUUCAGGACUUCUCUACAUGAGCUCUCCACAGAGUAACUGAACUUCUUACAUGGUGGCUCAAGACUCUAAGAAAGUGUGUUCCUAGAGGCAGGAAGUGCAAGCUACGGGUCUCUGAAGAUCUGAACUCCAUAUUGGCAUAGCCUUACUCCCAAUGUGUUCUCUCAGCCAGAGCAGUCACAGAAGAUCGGAUUCAAGGGUAGUGGAUAUAUCUUCCUAACAUACACAGGAAGAAUGUUGAUGAAUUUGUGACAGUCUUUAAUCCAUCAUAUCAUCCUUUUCCCCUAUUAGCUAGUGAAACUGGGCUAGAGUCAUUGGUAUUCUUUGUCAGGGCUUCAUACAUAAGCUUAACACACUGAGAUAAACAGAACUCCGUCUAAGUAGAAUAGGUCAAAAUGGGACUCAUGCAUUAAACUCCUUCUUAGGGUGCCUUUAACCAGAAGAAGGCAAGAUAAUGUCAUGUUGGGCAGCAGGUUAGGCAGUUAGCUGGAACAAUGACUCAACAACCAGGAUUUAGAAAUUAGAGCCAAAAUGUCAUCCCUACAUUUCACUUCAUUCCACUUAAUGAAUACUUUUUCAGUACCUACUACCUGCCAGUUACUACUAGACACAAGGGUGAGAUACUUGUUCUCAUGGAUCCUAUAGUCUGUUGGAGGUUAACAGUAAAUGGGUAAAUUAUUUAGUAAUCUACAAAAUAUGACAGAUUUGGCAGGGAGUGAAAGUCUCUUGGUGGUCAGGAAUAACUCUGUAGGAGUGGAAGUUUAGUCUGAUUAUCAGAGCAGUACAAAUGAGCCAGUGUCAGAAGGAAGUACAUUCUGGAAAGAGAAAGAAGUAAGUGCAAGGUAAGACAAACAGGAUGAAGGGCAGUGUGUUUGGAGCACUAUGAAUGAUGGGAGAGUUGUUGGAAAUGAAAACAGAGAAAGAUGGAGAAGUCAAAUAAUUGAGGGGCUGGAAAGCCAUGGUCAGGAGUUUGGGUUGUAUUUGGAGUAUAAAAGGAAGCUGGUAAAGGAAUUCGAUUCAGCAGAGUGGUGUUACUUGAUUGAUGUUAUAAAAAUACCUCUAGCUACUGUGUGCAGAAUGGACUGUGAGGGCAUAGGUUAGUGAACCCUGUGUGUGCGUGUGUGUGUGUGUGUGUCCCCAUGAGAAAUGAAGGCUGGUUAUUAAUGAUGGAGAUGGAAACAGUAGAGGGAUUCUAGAGAUAUUUAGGAGGAAACCCUAGUAGGGUUAGGUGAUAGAUUGGAAGGGUACAGAGGAACAGGAAGACGUCGAAGGGAGAGCUAAGUUUCUGGCAGCUAGGAUCCACUGUCAGCUCACCUUCUCACCCAAGUUAGGACAGAAUAUUUAGAUCAUUAUUUUCACUCAUCACAAGCUUGCUUUUGAGAGUGAGGCUUCUGUAUCACCAUGUGGCUUCUGUAAAUGCUACAGCAGUGAGCCCAGAAAUGUUCAGAGACACUAAAUAUAUUUUCAAAGUGCCUUUCAAUCCACUAAGGGAAAAAAAAGAGGGGACAUGCCUUCCUAACCCUUUCACUGUCAGCAUAUUAGGCUGAGCCAAGAAACAUGAGCUUUCCCCCAUGUGAGUGUCAUAGAGCAUCUUUGAAAAGAAGCUAACCUGAUUAUGAAAAUGAAGUUGAGAGACUCAGGCUCCAUGGGAAACUAUGACUUGUUCCCCUGACACAGAAAUAGCUCCAGGAUACCUCACUUCCCUGCUGCAUGAUGCUGUUCCUCUUGAUUUAUUUUCUCAGAUGAAGGAACAUUGAAUGAUCACAACUCUAGCUUUGUGCCAUCACAACCAGCUUUCAUCAAUCAUAGACUCAGACACUGGACCGAACAAGUUGCCAGAAAAAUAUCUGAGUGAGAAUUAUUUUCUGGGGGUAUCUUUACAAUUCUUUCGAUUGUAGUUUAUCAUUCUAGUCUGAGUAGGGGUGAGUUUGGACACCACGAUAAAAAAAAUAGGAGUUAUGGAUAGGCAUACCCUGAAGACACAGCAAUGGAGGGAAAUGAAUGUGCUCCACUAGCUGGGAAGUGCUUAGGUUCAAAUUUUCAGCCUGCUUAGCUUCACUGCUUAGCUGCUUGUUCAUCUCCCUUGUGUAAAAAUGUCUAUAUUCAUGUGAGCAACUCGUACAAACAAAUCUAGGGAUCAGAGUCAAAGCACUUUGAUAUUCAAAACUCUGUGGUCCUUUGCUCUAGCCAGUAAAUUUUGCUUUGACUGAACUGCUUCUCCAGCUCUUCACGUUCAGCAAUAUGCUCUGCACAACUUACAGCAAGAUGUUCUAGAAUUAUCUCUAAAUCAAUAUAAAAUGAGCACAAAAAAAUAGAAAUUUGCAGCCAGUGUCUUCUGUUCUGUCUCACCUUGCUAACAGUUCUAAAGACCUUCAGUGUGCAGACUAACUAUCUGGCACGCAGGACCACUGCAUGGAACACCACCAGUAGACAUUCAUACUGUAUUGUCUUUGAGUCCCAGCCACUGGAUAGUUAGCCGAGGGGUGGUGCCUUUCACCUGUCCCAAGGAAGUUGUGGAAUGAGGCAGCCUUGUUGCUCACUAUCCAUGAAUCAUCUCACCAACCUACUAAAAGCGCCCUUCCUGCCUGUGGCAUGACCUGUAGGGCAUGACCAAGAAUGACCUCCCAGCAUUCUUGGGCUUACCCAGCUACAGACUUCGCCCAGAUGGUGCUUCUAUAACUUAUGACUUGGCUUUUGUCCUGUUGUACUAGAACUCUACCCUAAGCCCCACCCAGCUCUUUUCAUUCUCUUCUCUAGGGGACUUGGAAUCUGUUUCCUGUAGCCACCCUGUGUUCUCUAGCACUUGGCUAGAGGCUUGGCUCAGCAAGCAUAAUUUGCCUUAGUCUACUCCAGAAAUUCUUUCUGGCAAACCUCAUUUGUCAGAUCCAAUUAACACCAAGGCCAGGUGUGCUUCCCCCUAGAACCCUGUGACUCGCCCUCUGUGAAUUCAUGCCUAGCCUUGAUCCUGCCAUUUUGGGCUUAUUCCCUCCUUUUGUAGGAUCACUUUUGAGGAUCAGGUGGGCAACACUAGAAAUGACAUUAUUCCAUUUUAAAUCCAUAUCAUUGGACAUCUAAGUGUGGGCAGAGUUACAAAUAACUUCAUUUAAGACCCUCUGCCAGCAAAGUUUUUUUUUUUUUUUAAGAUUUUAUCCAUUUAUUCAUGAAAGACACAAAGAGAGAGAGAAAGAGAGAGAGAGAGGCAGAGACAC